UACGGGGGGAGCAAGCGUUGUUCGGAAUUACUGGGCGUAAAGGGCUCGUAGGCGGCCAACUAAGUCGGACGUGAAAUCCCCAGGCUCAACCUGGGAACUGCGUCCGAUACUGGAUGGCUUGAAUCCGGGAGAGGGAUGCAGAAUUCCAGGUGUAGCGGUGAAAUGCGUAGAUAUCUGGAGGAAUACCGGUGGCGAAGGCGGCAUCCUGGACCGGCAUUGACGCUGAGGAGCGAAAGCUAGGGGAGCAAACGGG
rnacentral:rRNA from 1 species